GUAAUAACUCCGCCUGUAGCCCCUCCAAGGGCUACUUCCGGUCCCAAGCCCGGAUAAAGGAGGAGGGCUGG
rnacentral:ribozyme from 2 species